rnacentral:rRNA from 1 species
AUGGCUCAGGAUGAACGCUGGCGGCGUGCUUAACACAUGCAAGUCGAACGAAGCGCAUUGUUUGAAUUCUUCGGAAGGAAGAUAAUGUGACUGAGUGGCGGACGGGUGAGUAACGCGUGGGUAACCUGCCAUGUACAGGGGGACAACAGUUGGAAACGGCUGCUAAUACCGCAUAAGCGCACGAGAUUGCAUGAUCUAGUGUGAAAAACUCCGGUGGUAUAUGAUGGACCCGCGUUUGAUUAGCUAGUUGGUAAGGUAACGGCUUACCAAGGCGACGAUCAGUAGCCGACCUGAGAGGGUGACCGGCCACAUUGGGACUGAGACACGGCCCAGACUCCUACGGGAGGCAGCAGUGGGGAAUAUUGCACAAUGGGCGAAAGCCUGAUGCAGCGACGCCGCGUGAACGAAGAAGUAUUUCGGUAUGUAAAGUUCUAUCAGCAGGGAAGAAGAAAUGACGGUACCUGACUAAGAAGCCCCGGCUAACUACGUGCCAGCAGCCGCGGUAAUACGUAGGGGGCAAGCGUUAUCCGGAUUUACUGGGUGUAAAGGGAGCGCAGGCGGCCCGGCAAGUGUGAUGUGAAAACCCAAGGCUCAACCAUGGGAUUGCAUUGGAAACUGUCGAGCUAGAGUAUCGGAGGGGUAAGUGGAAUUCCUAGUGUAGCGGUGAAAUGCGUAGAUAUUAGGAGGAACACCAGUGGCGAAGGCGGCUUACUGGACG